GAAUCGGACGCGUUACAGUGACGUUCUAAAUCAGUGCCCGUUCUGAAACUGUGUUGUUCUAUGCCGUUUUGUUUGGUUUGUUUUAACAUUAGGAUCCAAUUCUAGAUAUUCGUGCUCUGUGCUAGUAAAAAGUCUGGUUAUUUCUAGACAAUUACAGUGAAGUGUUCGAUAUAUUGAGUUUUCUAUUCCUUCCAAUAUAUUAAAGGUUUUAAAACUUCACAUUCCAAAAUCAUGGAGCUCUCUUCUCACUCUCUGGUAGAACAGUGUACGCACUCUUUACCAAUUCAAAGCGACACUUAUCUGUACAGUUGAAGGUCUUCCGAAGAUGGUGAAAUAGUAGUGUAGUGUAUAAUAAGUGAUAAAAUGAGCUUAUAAGUUAAGUGAAUGUCAGGAGA